rnacentral:pre_miRNA from 1 species
AGUCAGGAUUACGGUUAGUUUUUAAACUAAAACAACCGGUAACCCUGUCCG